GGGCGCACGAGCGAGCUCGACCGCCGCGUCAU
rnacentral:misc_RNA from 1 species